rnacentral:rRNA from 1 species
ACUGGAGGACCGAACCGACUAAUGUUGAAAAAUUAGCGGAUGACCUGUGGCUGGGGGUGAAAGGCCAAUCAAACCGGGAGAUAGCUGGUUCUCCCCGAAAGCUAUUUAGGUAGCGCCUCGUGAAUUCAUCUCCGGGGGUAGAGCACUGUUUCGGCUAGGGGGCCAUCCCGGCUUACCAACCCGAUGCAAACUGCGAAUACCGGAGAAUGUUAUCACGGGAGACACACGGCGGGUGCUAACGUCCGUCGUGAAGAGGGAAACAACCCAGACCGCCAGCUAAGGUCCCAAAGUCAUGGUUAAGUGGGAAACGAUGUGGGAAGGCCCAGACAGCCAGGAUGUUGGCUUAGAAGCAGCCAUCAUUUAAAGAAAGCGUAAUAGCUCACUGGUCGAGUCGGCCUGCGCGGAAGAUGUAACGGGGCUAAACCAUGCACCGAAGCUGCGGCAGCGACACUGUGUGUUGUUGGGUAGGGGAGCGUUCUGUAAGCCUGUGAAGGUGUGUCGUGAGGCAUGCUGGAGGUAUCAGAAGUGCGAAUGCUGACAUAAGUAACGAUAAAGCGGGUGAAAAGCCCGCUCGCCGGAAGACCAAGGGUUCCUGUCCAACGUUAAUCGGGGCAGGGUGAGUCGACCCCUAAGGCGAGGCCGAAAGGCGUAGUCGAUGGGAAACGGGUUAAUAUUCCCGUACUUGGUGUUACUGCGAAGGGGGGACGGAGAAGGCUAUGUUGGCCGGGCGACGGUUGUCCCGGUUUAAGCGUGUAGGUGUGUGUUCCAGGUAAAUCCGGUUCACUUUAACACUGAGGCGUGACGACGAGGCACUACGGUGCUGAAGCAACAAAUGCCCUGCUUCCAGGAAAA